rnacentral:sRNA from 1 species
GCCGGGUGUGGUGAUGCACACCUGUAAUCCCAGCAACUCAGGAGGCUGAGAGAGGAGGAUGGUGAGUUCAAAGCCAGCCUCAGCAAUAGCGAGGCACUAAACAACUCAGUGAGACCCUGUCUCUA